AGAUGCCGGAAGUGUUCCUGUAGCCAUCUUGAGCAGUUGGUGAGCUGAGUGGAGUAGAUCUCUAAGGGGCCGCCAGCGGAAUGAAUCUUUUUGGCAUCAUCUAAUAUGAGGUUCAUGUACUCAUCAAAACCAAUGAUACAGCCCUCUAUACGCAUGUUCACUUGCUUAUGAAGCCACACCUGAAUCCGAGAUCUAUUUUGCAAGCAUCUGGAGAUGAGGAUGAUGGGCUGCACCAUCACCCUCUGCACUUUUUGACCCUGGCCACGGCUGAAAGAGAAGCUACUGAGGUUCUUUUGUGGUUAAAUGAACCUCAGAUGUUUACCAGAAUGAUGUGCCCAGAAUUGGUUCAGGUCCUCAAAUAUGUGAUUUCAGAGAGUGAUUUAAUGGCCAAAAUGAUGGAGAAAACCACUACUAGCGGCUAAGCAUUUAUCUCCGCUACUGCCCCGUUGCACC